ACGUACCUAUUUUUAAUUUAGUAAUAGUAAUUAGGUAAUCGCGUCUCAUCUUAAGCCACGUCAUCACUUUCCAUCAGGUGUGAUUGUGGUCAAGCGCUUCCCUUAAUGAAUU